CAUCAUCACAGCACAACAUCACUCUCUGCACGAGCACCUGAAGAAAAAGCCUGCUGGAGCCAUGUUCACUACUAGCUCACAACAGAGCCCUGUCCUACACCCAAAAAAGCCAAUCAUUUGACUGGUUACACAGCAAGUAAACAGAGGACCGUGGACCUGCUAGAAGUCCUUGUAGGGGUGUGCGUGUGGUGCAUAUGUAUGGGUGCUGCUGGCCAGGCAGAGGGAGUAGACACCACCGACCACUGAAUAACUAAAUGACAGACAAUGCCAUCAUCUACUUCAUCUACAGAACAUCUACAUUCAUCUCUACCAAGACCUCUACUAGCAUGCAGACAAGUCCGAGUCACAACAGGUCUGGAAACAGGCAUAGGAAAGGAGAAGAAGUUAAAGUAGAUGUGAAGAAAUGGUAGAAAAAUGCAACAUUGAAGGGAAAACAGGACCUGAACUCAAGAUAAAUAAUAGAUCUGCAUUAAUUUAUUUAGAAAGCAGGGCUAGCCUGUUGGAGUGUGGAAGGCUCAGAAGGCUCAGAAAAGAACAAUAAGUACGAACAGAUGAAAUGUGGGCGGAUAAUUUCAAACAAGGGAAACGAGAGGUGCUAGUAAGAGGAAGAAUUUGUAAUGCGACAUGAAAAGGAAUAAAGGAAACAAAUUGGAGAAGAGGAAAAAAAGUAGCGAAGAAAGAAGAAGGUGAUGGUGGGUCAUGGA